rnacentral:misc_RNA from 1 species
GACUAGAGAUGAAGCAUUAUUACACCCUUAUACUCUCUUUUUUGCUUUUGUUUGGGGUGGGGAACAGAGGGUGUCUUGGGAUGUUGAGUGGACUUGCUUCCUCUACUCCUCCUUGUAGACUAUUGAUGUUCCGGAGCUAAUUUUAAGGAUAAUCUAUGUCUUCAUCUUGUGCUGAAGCGAAUUCUUUUACUUUUCCACCUUCGACUUGG